rnacentral:rRNA from 1 species
GAUGAACGCUGGCGGCGUGCCUAAUACAUGCCAGUCGAGCGAACAGACGAGGAGCUUGCUCCUCUGACGUUAGCGGCGGACGGGUGAGUAACACGUGGAUAACCUACCUAUAAGACUGGGAUAACUUCGGGAAACCGGAGCUAAUACCGGAUAAUAUAUUGAACCGCAUGGUUCAAUAGUGAAAGACGGUUUUGCUGUCACUUAUAGAUGGAUCCGCGCCGCAUUAGCUAGUUGGUAAGGUAACGGCUUACCAAGGCAAUGAUGCGUAGCCGACCUGAGAGGGUGAUCGGCCACACUGGAACUGAGACACGGUCCAGACUCCUACGGGAGGCAGCAGUAGGGAAUCUUCCGCAAUGGGCGAAAGCCUGACGGAGCAACGCCGCGUGAGUGAUGAAGGUCUUCGGAUCGUAAAACUCUGUUAUUAGGGAAGAACAAAUGUGUAAGUAACUAUGCACGUCUUGACGGUACCUAAUCAGAAAGCCACGGCUAACUACGU